CUCGCGCUCCCACGGCCCGGCCCGGCCCGGCCGGCGCCCCCUUCCGCGUGCGGGAGGACUAGUGGAAACUGAGACGCCGAGAUUGCAGCGGCUCUACAAAGCGGGGUUGAGACUUCUGUUCAGCCCCUCUGAAAUGUUUACCUUAGAAGGCUAGGGCCGACCGCCACUACCCUAUGGUCCCUCCCUCCGCUAAUCCCUUUUGCUAAGUUCAAGGCCUUCCUGCUCUCAGGCUUUCCUUCUGGUUCUCCCAUGGCGCGGCCUCCUCACCUGAGAACAAUGUCACUGGCGGACAGAGCCCGGACGCAUGCACUGUAGUCGCCCCCGCACCAAAUAGUGACUGGGCUACAAGUGCUAAGUCUGUGCAGUAACUCUGUUGCUCUUUCAGACGAGAGAGGAAAGUGACAUCAGCCUGUCAUCCUCUCUUCUUCCUGCCUGACACCUGGACAAGAGGAUGGAGGUGGAGCAGUGAUCUUGCAUCUUGUGGCAACAGGCAUCAAGAUAGGCCUACAUGCUAAGAAUGACGGAGUGAAAAUACAAGCCUAGGUUGACUACACUGGACUUCCUUUUUGUGAAAAUGACUAAACUAUAAUGUUGCUCGCUUCUGCAGCACAUAGACUGAAGUUGGAACAAUAUAGAGAUUAGCAUGGUUCCCGCACAAGGAUGAUACACAGGCAACACAACUAGAACAAGAUAUUUUCAACUGCUAAAGGACCCAAACUGGAUGAAUUGAUAUAAGGCAAUGUGACAGGUAGCUCUUAACAAGUAUAACAGACAUUAUAUAUCCACAUAAGUGUUGUUCCUUUCAAAAUAAUCAACCCCUGAGUUACAAAGUUAUAUAUAUAAAGAAUAUAUAGCCCUAGUCGGUUUGGCUCAGGUUUGAUUCCAGUCAAGGGCAUGUAUCUCAGUUGCAGGCUCCGCCCCGGCCAGGGCCCUGGUUGGGGCGUG